rnacentral:rRNA from 1 species
AAACAGGAAUCCUAGGGGAAACCGGAAUGGAAUCUCCAUUCGGUCUGAAUUUCAAUGAAGUGGGCCCUUGAGAUUGCGCCAUAGAGUUUGGGACGCCCACAACCUUAUCGUACGGUGUGACAAGAGCCGAGAUGAUUAGGACAGUUUCAGCCUUCGGGGCCAGCAGCGGAAAACUUACACGCAGAAACUGUAUAAGGGACCCCGAGUGCCCGACACGCGGUGUUCCCGUGUUUAAACACAUCNGAGAAGGNNCCGGGCAAGACCGGUGCCAGCCGCCGCGUAAUACCGGCGGCUCGAGUGGUGACCACUUUAUUGGGCUUAAAGCGUUCGUAGCUGAUUUUUAAGUCUCCUGGGAAAUCUCACGGCUUAACUGUGAGGCGUCUAAGAGAUACUGGGAAUCUAGGGACCGGGAGAGGUAAGAGGUACUUCAGGGGUAGAAGUGAAAUUCUGUAAUCCUUGAGGGACCACCGAUGGCGAACGCAUCUUACCAGAACGGCUUCGACAGUGAGGAACGAAAGCUGGGGGAGCGAACGGGAUUAGAUACCCUGGUAGUCCCAGCCGUAAACUAUGCGCGUUAGGUGUGCCUGUAACUACGAGUUACCGGGGUGCCGAAGUGAAAACGUGAAACGUGCCGCCUGGGAAGUACGGUCGCAAGGCUGAAACUUAAAGGAAUUGGCGGGGGAGCACCACAACGCGUGGAGCCUGCGGUUUAAUUGGACUCAACGCCGGGCAGCUCACCGGAUAGGACAGCGGAAUGAUAGCCGGGCUGAAGACCUUGCUUGACCAGCUGAGAGGAGGUGCAUGGCCGUCGUCAGUUCGUACUGUGAAGCAUCCUGCUUAGUCAGGCAACGAGCGAGACCCAAAUCACUAGGAAUUCGG